GGCAAACGAUGGCCGGUCGGCAGCGUCUAUCUUCCAGCACUUCUGCAUCACGGCGUACCUGAGUUUGCGUAUACCAGAAUUUAUGUUUUUGAAUAUCCUUACGACGACGUUUGAUUGGUCAUGUGUUUUGUGAUUCAGAAAGCCAGGAUGUAGUUGUUUGAUACAUCUGUCGUGUAAAAUACUCGAAGUACAAUGUCAAGAGUGUUUAACGAACAUAUAUUUUUCUGGUCGGUCCAUACGGUAUCCGCCAAUCAAAAGGUUGUACAGUCUUUCUGGAGGAAUGCCAGGAUACGGCGGUGCACCGAGAGUCACGAUUUCCCACAACACUAUUCCGUACGACCAACUGAAAGACAAACAUAACAAGAUACGUGUCCGCUUCGUACACGUCCCUUGUGAGACCAAAAUCGGAGAUCUUCAACGCCUUUCCAUUGGACACGAGGAUAUUACGUGCAGCCAGGUCGCGAUGCACGAGCUGAAGUGGCAAAAAUAGACAUUAGUUUUGCGGAUCUCUAUACGUGUAGGAAAAAUAACCCAUUUUAUCUGUAUGUCAAACAACGCUGACCCAUUUUAUUAACAAAUAUUAGUAUUAGGUCAAAUAAUUACUGUCGAUGAGGUAUCAGAGUGUGAACGACCUUUAAAAAAGGUCAGCUCGAAUAGAAAACGUCGAAUACAUUCUGGCGUCAGCAUAUUGAUCAGUAGGUACUUACCUUAGUUCAUUGGUAAUAAAUAUCAGAUUAGGAUGUAAAAUGAGAUUGCCUUACUUGAUAUCUUUC